rnacentral:rRNA from 1 species
GGGUGAACCAGCGGAGGGAUCAUUAUAGAGUUUUCUAAACUCCCAACCCAUGUGAACUUACCUUUUGUUGCCUCGGCAGAAGUUAUAGGUCUUCUUAUAGCUGCUGCCGGUGGACCAUUAAACUCUUGUUAUUUUAUGUAAUCUGAGCGUCUUAUUUUAAUAAGUCAAAACUUUCAACAACGGAUCUCUUGGUUCUGGCAUCGAUGAAGAACGCAGCGAAAUGCGAUAAGUAAUGUGAAUUGCAGAAUUCAGUGAAUCAUCGAAUCUUUGAACGCACAUUGCGCCCAUUAGUAUUCUAGUGGGCAUGCCUGUUCGAGCGUCAUUUCAACCCUUAAGCCUAGCUUAGUGUUGGGAAUCUACUUCUCUUAGGAGUUGUAGUUCCUGAAAUACAACGGCGGAUUUGUAGUAUCCUCUGAGCGUAGUAAUUUUUUUCUCGCUUUUGUUAGGUGCUAUAACUCCCAGCCGCUAAACCCCCAAUUUUUUGUGGUUGACCUCGGAUCAGGUAGGAAUACCCGCUGAACUUAAGCAUAUCAAUAAGCGGAGGAAAAGAAACCAACAGGGAUUGCCUUAGUAACGGCGAGUGAAGCGGCAACAGCUCAAAUUUGAAAUCUGGCCCUUGGGUCCGAAUUGUAAUUUGUAGAGGAUGAUUUUGGUGCGGUAUCUUCCGAGUUCCUUGGAACAGGACGCCUUAGAGGGUGAGAGCCCCGUACGGUUGAAUGCCUAGCCUCUGUAAAUCUCCUUCGACGAGUCGAGUAGUUUGGGAAUGCUGCUCUAAAUGGGAGGUAAAUUUCUUCUAAAGCUAAAUAUUGGCCAGAGACCGAUAGCGCACAAGUAGAGUGAUCGAAAGAUGAAAAGCACUUUGAAAAGAGGGUUAAAUAGCACGUGAAAUUGUUGAAAGGGAAGGAUUUGUGACCAGACUUUUUCUGGGCGGAUCAUCCGGGGUUCUCUCCGGUGCACUUCGCCCAGUAAAGGCCAGCAUCGGUUUUCGGCGUGGGAUAAAAGCAGUAGGAAUGUGGCUCUCUACGGGGAGUGUUAUAGCCUAUUGUAUAAUACCGCGCUGGGGACCGAGGUUCGCGCUCUGCAA